ACAGCCCCGCGCCCACCAGGUCGGCCCAGCGCCGGCUGACCCAAGGGGAGAAAGUUCAGAUCGCUUUGACCGAGUUGUUCUAACCCCUCGCCCUCGUGUUGUCAGCCGCUCGAAGAAGUCCGCAGAGCCUCUUGCUUGUCUCUCCCCGGGCACUUCUGAAUUCGCCCAUGCGGGGUCUGAUUUAGCCCGCUGCAGGUGGAGGGGUCAUAGUGGGCACGAGCGAGGCGUGGGAACCCUUGGGAUAUCGCAGGAGGGUCUGUGCCAGCGUCCGAGGUGCAAACAUCACUGAGGAUGGGUUCCAGGAUGGAAACCCUCUGCCAAGCCUCUCCAACACCAGAUUUAUAUACGCGACGUUUCACGAAAGAAACCGCUUUUUAACAUGGUUCACCUUUCUCUUUUUCUCCCACCCCCUCUCCUAGCCUUCUCCUCCCCUUCCGCCACCCUGCACAGUCAGACACUUUAGUUUCUCUGAUUUCUAGAGCUGAGAUUCAAGCUUCCGCCAAGGCCGCAGGCCAAGGAGGCUGCUGGGACUUUCUUUUAGGACGAGCUGGGACUCUGGGAACUCAAAGACCCAACAGGGAGAAGUCCCGGGUCCCAGGCUGCCAGUGUAGUCCCGGGAGGGUGUCGCUUGUUCUGCUGGGCUGCAGCCGGGAAGACUUCAGACACCGCACAGUUAAUAUUGAGUUCCCUGUAACUCCUUGUAAAUCUAACCCGCCUCUCGCCCCCCUUUAAAACCGUGGUCUUGUUCGUGAUUUCUUACUGGACGUAAAGUUCCUUGUUACCUAAUCAUGGACUUUUUCGAAACUCCUUCCAUCCCCUUUCCGCCUGCUCAGAUGAGAAUCCCCUGUAUAGCAUACAAGCAAAACCUCUUCUUUUCUUUCUUGGAUGAAAGUCCCAUAGUUUGAAUUAAACACCCCAGACUAGUUCCCGCUGCAGUAAUAACGCCGGGGUCCUCCUCACAGCUCCUCCGCCAGAAACGCACUCUCCAAACAAAAACUGACGCCCUCAUGAAACGGCUUCUGAUUAAUUUCAGGAAAGCAAGGGCACCUUUGCACCUUCUGAGCGAACUGCCGGACACUGGAUUCUCCAGCACACCAACAGAGCCCAGACCCUCUGCAGGCUUUGCAACAAGGACACUUCUCUUUAAGAGCACCUCCUCCUCCUGCAUAGACCGCAGGUCAGGUUGACUGUUUUAGAGGACGGAAGUGCACAAAACAAGUGGCUGUUGGAAACAUCUUCAAAGAGGGAACGACCACAGAUGAACGGACAGCACUAGAUACCGACCCCAACGGAAAUGUUAGCGGCCUUGUUUUCGGCUUUGAAAUAAAACUUUAUAAUCCCCAGGAAUAUUUAUAUCCAAAGGCCAAGUAUUAAAGAUACACUUCACAAA